rnacentral:other from 2 species
GGGGUGCUGCCCGGUGCGUUAGGAAUAAACACGCUCGGGGCCUUACGCUCUUCGAGGGAGCUGUCCCUGCGGUUGGCCGUGGCCUUCUGCACACGGCGCCCACCUACUUAUGUAGGUCUCCGAGGUAGCAGAUUCCGACGGCCAGGGCGGCUCCCCA